rnacentral:lncRNA from 1 species
AAUGUUUUUAAGUGUGAAGAGGAGACUUGAAGUGUAAUAAACUUACACUCCAAGGCCACCCCUUGGCAAGGGUAGGAUGGUCAUUUGUUAUCUCCCUUUGUGGACUAAUAUAAAUAGAUAGUGUUAGGGUUAGUUUGGAGUUAAUUCAUUCAUGAUAUUUUGAGAACACAAUACUUGUAAUAUUUUGAACUUCUCUCUUCCAUUAGAGAAGAUCAAAACCGAAAUUCCCAAUUGGAGUGACACUUGGGUUGAAUCUUGGCUAGAAACUAGGAUCUUGAGGCCAUUGAGUUCCUCUUGGUCCAAGUAAGAGCUUGGUAAUAAUAUUCUUUAGUCUUAGGGUCCUUUAAUGUUGUUAGGGUUCUUAGAUUCUUGAAUAUUAUAUAUCAAGUUACUAUUUAAUUUGUAAUCUUGUUGUUUGUGUGGUAACAUAGUGAAGCCCUGUGGGACCAUUUUUGAUUCACUAUAGUUGCGGCCACUUUGUUGCUCUUGUUGUUGUUAUUGUAAUUUUGUAAUCUCUAUCAUCUUGUCAUUUUUUGUAAACCUUGAAGUCUAGUGAAGCCGUGUGUGGCCUAUUUCGAUUCACUAGCAUUAUUGUUGUUCAUCUUGUUAUUCUUGUGUUGGCUUGACUCUCUUGAUACACACUCACUUUUUUAUUAUUUGGUAUCAAAGCUUGUGGUUGAUUUUUUUUCCAACAAAAUCAAUCUUGGGUUUGGUAGUUGAAAAAUAACAAAAAAAAAAAUGAAAAAAAAGGUUGCUGAAAUCUGAAAAUUCUAGCAAAAAAAAGAGAAAUCUGUCCAUCUUGUUUUUGGCCAAAAAAAUUGUGUUGUGUUGUUGUCUUGGCCAAGAUUGGCGUUUGUGUAUUUAUAUCUAGAUGUUCUUUUGUUUUUCUAGUUUGUUUCUUGUGUUGAUUUCUUUCUCAUCAUCACAAAAGGUGUCUAAAGCUAAGUUGAGCUUAAUAUAUUGACAUUGCUAUUGUGGACUUGAAGUGGUAGUAUGAUAAACUUGAAGAAGGAUGAGUUGGUGGCGUUGUUGAUUGACGUUAAAGUGGGCUAUUGUUUGUGAAUUGUGGUUGUGUUCUUGAAGUAUUGUUGUGGUGUUCAUCUUGAUCUUCUCAUUAUCUCAUAGCUUGACCACUAUAAAGACUAAAAUAGAUCCAAAAGGGUUGUAAGACAAAGUUGUAAAGUUGUUUGUGAAAAGACUUGCCAACAUCACUUCCUUUACUUAACAACCACUUUCCCUUAAAACAAGGAGCCUUGUCUUGUGGAACUAGUAAAGUCAAGCCUCAUCUUUUUUAUAUGAGCACACAUAUGUAUGUCAAUCACUUGACACACAUAAUGUUAAUUUAGUGGUUUAAUAUGUAUGUCAAUCAUGUGCACUAUUAACGUUAAAUCCAACAUCAUUUGUUAUUGUUAAAUAAAUCAACUAAAAUGAGUCAUGGUGGUUGUACAUCACUUCAUUGACAUAGUUCCUUCCAUGUACUACAAUAUUAGUCUAUUAUCUAACAUAACCUUUAAAAUACCUAAUGGGUCCAACGAUAAUACUUAGAAUACUUUAUCUAAGUCAGAACCUAUCAUCAUUAUUCACAAUAUUAUGUAUACAAGAGAAAACAGGUAACAAUAAAAACAUAUAUAAUUUGAGCUCAAAGUGUCAAUUACAAAAAUAUAAUAAAGAUUUUACAUAAAAUCAUUCAUUACUAUCAAUAAGACCCAUUCUUUCAACAUGUUCAACAAAUGUUUUGGGCAGUAAUCCUUUCGUCAAAGGAUCAACAAUCAUAAGCUUGGUGCUAAUAUGUUCAAUUAACACUUUAUGUUUCUGUACUUCUUCUUUAACCGAAAAGUAUUUCAAUUCCAUAUGCUUAGCACCUUUCGCAUACUUAUCGUUCUUAGAGAAGAAAACUGCGACAGUAUUAUCACAAUAAAUUUUCAGCGGCCUGGCUAUAUUGUCGACUAGUCCAAGUCCUGAAAUAAAAUUCCGUAGCCAAUUAGCCUGGACUGUGGCCUCAAAGCAUACCAUAAACUUAGCUUCCAUAGUGGUUGCAGCUAUAACAGACUGCUUCGCACUCUUCCAUGAUAUUGCUCCUCCACCUAACAGAAACAAAUAUCCAAAUGUGAAUUUUCUUGUAUCCACACAACCAGCAUAAUCUGAAUCUGAAUAUCUAACCACAUCUAGAUGAUCAGAUCUUCUAUAAGUGAGCAUAUGAUCUUUCGUUCCUUGUAAGUAUCGCAACACUUUUUUUGCAGCCUUCCAGUGAUCCAUUCCAGGAUUACUUUGAUAUCGACCCAGCAUUCCAACAGCAAAACUGAUGUCUGGUCUUGUACAUGUUUGGGCAUACAUAAGACUCCCAACUAUUGAUGCAUAAGGAAUAUCGUUCAUUUACUUUUGUUCCAAGUCAUUCUUUGGACAUUGAAUGAGACUAAACUUAUAUCCUUUCUGAAUUGGAACGGGACUUGAUGAGCAUUUUUUAAUUCUAAAUCUGUCUAAUACUUUAUUAAUAUAGGUUUUCUGAGAAAAUCCCAACAAUCCUUGUGAUCUAUCUCAAAAUAUUUCUAUUUCGAUCACAUAGGAUGCCUCACCCAUGUCUUUCAUUUCAAAGUUAUUAGAGAGAUAUUUCUUGGUAUCAUGUAACAAACCAAGAUCAUUAGUAAUAAUCAAGAUGUCAUCAACAUAUAAGACUAACAUAAUAAACUUACUCCCACUGACCUUCAGAUAUAUACACCGAUCAACAGUGUUUUCUUUAAAUCCAAAGGUGACAAUCGUUUCAUUAAACUUAAGAUACCACUGUCGGGAAGCUUGUUUAAGUCCGUAUAUUGAUUUCUUAAGUUUACACACCAUGUGUUCCUUUCCUUUAAUAGAAAACCCCUCAGAUUGAUUCAUAUAAACUUCUUCCUCUAAAUUUCCAUUCAAAAAGGCUAUUUUCACAUCCAUUUGAUGUAGCUCUAAGUCAUAAUGAGCUACCAAGGCCAUUAUAAUUUUGAGUGAAUCUUUUCUAGAGACAGGUGAAAAUGUCUCUUUAUAAUCAAUACCAUUCUUUUGAGUGAAACCUUUGGCAACAAGUCUGGCCUUGUGGCGUUCGAUGUUGCCAGUUGAGUCACGUUUGGUCUUAAAGAUCCAUUUACACCCAACUCUUUUGCAACCUUCGGGUAAUUCAACAAGGUCCCAAACUUCAUUUUGUUUCAUAGAUUUUAACUCAUCUUUCAUAGCAUUUAUCCAUUUAUCAGAAUUGUUGCUUUCAAUGGCUUGUGAAAAUAAAACUGGAUCAUCAUCAAUUCCCAAGUCAGUUUCUGACUCAUGUAGAUAUACCAAAUAAUCAUUAGAAAUAGUAGAUUUUUUUGGUCUUUGAGAUCUUCUUGAUGCUACUUCUUGUGGUUCAUCUACUAUAGGUUCAUCAAUUAUGGCUUCAUUAAUGAGAGCAUUAAUUUGUUGUUCUUGUUGAUUAAUUUGUUGUGCAAUAGCUUCAGGAACAACAAAUUUAAAAGAAGUACAGGAUAGAGGAAUUUUCACCCUAACUUCUUUAAUUUUCACAUUACGUGGUUCUUCACUCCCACUAACUUCGCCAUUCUCAAUGAAUCUAGCGUUUCCAGUUUCAAAUAUUCUUGUACUAUGAUUAGGACAGUAAAAUCUAUACCCCUUUGAUUUUUCUGGAUAACCAAUGAAGAAUUCACUGAUUGGUCUUGAAUCCAGUUUCUUUUUUUGUGGAUUGUAUAUUCUAACUUCUGUCGCGCAACCCCAAACAUGCAGGUGCCUCAAACUAGGUUUCCUACCAGUCCACAGUUCAAAAGGUGUCUUUGGGACUGCUUUACUAGGAACCCUAUUUAACAAGUAAACGGCAGUCCUUAAAGCAUACAUCCAUAAUGAAGGAGGUAAAGAUGAAUUACUUAACAUACUCCUAACCAUAUCCAUUAAUGUACGAUUACACCUUUCUGCCACACCAUUUUGUUGUGGUGUGCCAGGCAUUAUGUAUUGAGCUCAUAUGUCUUAUUUUUCAAGGAAUUUAGCAAAUUGACCUGGGUGUUGUCCACUUUCAUCAUAUCUUCCAUAAUAUUCACCACCUCUAUCAGACCUGAUUAUUUUUACCUUUCUAUCUAAUUGUCUUUCAACCUCAGUAAUAAAUAACUCUAAGGCAUUAAUCAGUCGAGAUUUUUCAUGCAACAAAUAGAUAUAUCCAUAACGUGAAAGUCAUCAAUAAAAGUGAUAAAAUAUUUUUCUUUAUUGAAAGAUGUGAUAUCAAAAGGACCAUAUAUAUCAAUGUGUAUAAUUUCAAGAAGCUGCGUGCUUCUUGUGGCUUCUUUCUUUGUGUUUUUUUUUGUUUUCCUUUAAUACAAUCAACACAAAUAUUAAGGUUAGUAAAAUCUAAAUCUGGAAGAAUUUCAUUCUUAAUUAAUCUUUUCAGCUUUUCUUUAGAUAUGUGACCUAAACGUUUAUGCCACAAGUAAGAAGAUUGUUCAUUUACGAAACUUCAUUUGGUUCCAACAUUAUGAUGUAGAGUUAAAAGUGUUUUGGCAAAUAUAUUAUCAAGAUUAAAUUUGUAUAAAUUAUCACAAAGAGUACCAGUACCAAUGAGAUAAUUAUUCUUAAACAAACUAAAACAUCCAUUACCAAAAUUAAAGGAAUAUCCAGUCUUAUCCAACUUAGAUAAUGAAACUAAAUUUCUAGAAAGAGAAGGAACAUAAUAAGUUUCAACUAAAUCUAAGUGACGCCCAGUAUCGAGAAUCAGACGAUAAGUCCCAACAGCUUCAACUGGAGCCUUCACUCUAUUCCCCAUGCAAACAAAUCUUUCGUUCUUGUUUUGGUUUGGAUUAUAAGGAUCCCUAUAUAGUAUUAGAAACAUGAACAGUACAACCAGAGUCAAUCCACCAAGUAUUAUAAGGAAAUUCAGUUAAAUUUGAUUCGAGACAUAUAAAAGCACAAGGCUUACCUUUCUUCCUAAACCAUGCCUUACGUUUCAGGCAAUGUUUCUGAAAGUGUCCAGAUUUUCCAAAGAAAUGAUACUUUCCAUUCUUUUUUCCUUUCUUAUGUACUUGAGAUGACGACUCAUUAAUAUUAAGUUGCUUCUGUUGUCCCUUACCAUGCUUCUUUCCUUUCUUUUCAGCUCCUUGAUGAUUUACAUAAUUAAUGGAGUGGGUUCCUUGAUUCUUUAUCCUUGUUUCCUCUUGAACCAACAUACCAUGCAAUUCAUGCACAUUUUAUUUGUCUUUCAUGGUAUUGUAUUUCAUUUGGAAAGGACCAUACUCAGACGGUAAUGAGUUGAUGAUGAAUUGCACAAGGAAAUUUUGUUCCACUUCCAUUCCCAAUAACUUAAGUCUUGAUGCUAUGUUUGUCAUUUCAAUGACAUGCUCAUGCAUAGUACGUGAACCAUCAAACUUCAUGAUGGUCAAAGUACCCAUUAGUUUCCCAGAAAGAGACUUAUCAGCAGUUUGGGAAGACUCUUCCACAAGUUUCAGAAGUUCUUUUGCACUUUCAGUUUUGGGAAGAGUAGUCUUAAUGUUGCCCGCAAUAUUCAUUCGCAUGAACAUUAGGCCUAAUCUGUUAGACUGAUCCCAGUGCUUAUAAUAGGACUUUUCUUCAUCACUGCUAGCUUCAGUAAUAGCAGUUGGCUUUUCAGAGUAAAGUGCAACAUCAAGAUCUAAAAUACCAAGAUGAAAUUUGAUCUGUUCGCACCAAUCUGAAAAGUUAAGUCCAUUAAAAGUUGUAACAGAGGCAGAGUGCGAAUGAAGGGAAAGUGAUGCAAGUAAAACAUGCUCAUUUAUUAAUACUUUGAGUUACGAGUUUAAACACAUUAUCAAAUUCAGAAAUAAUGUCUUUUCUUAAAUGUAUAUUGACGUUCUCCUUUGGGAGAAACAUCAACAUACAACUUAAAACAUAAUGAUGCUUAAAAGUAUAUUUAACAUAAAUCGAUAAUAUUUAAUACAUCAAUUAAUAAUAUUUAUUAUCUUUGGAUAAAUAAAUAAAAUUAACGAUACACCAAAAUUAUCUCUUUAAUAUUUAUUGGUCAUACGAACAAACAAUCAACCUUUGGGUGGUCCACAAAUGUCUUAUAACUAAAAUUUUAAUUUACCCAUAAUUGUUACAUCAUUUAUAAGGAUCAAAAUUAAUGGGUAAUUAAUUAAAACUUAAUCUUUAUUUGGGAAUUAAUCUCAUAAAGAUUCGACCACUUUGGUGAUUAACGAACCUCAUUCAUAAUCGAAAUAAUACUAUCAUGCCUAUAGAAUUACAUUAUUUCCAGUGAUUCGGAAUUCAGAAUGAAUUAUGAAUAAAUAAUGAUUCAUAUUCAAUUAUUAUGAACUACCGUUUAUGUCCUUAUUAUUAUUAAAAAUAAAAAUGUUUCAAUGUAAACACAUGUUUACAGUGACCGAAAUUGAAAUUAAAUGAACAAUGCAUUCUUUACUUAAUAAGUUAAUUCAAUUCAAGACCUUUAAUGGUAACAUAAUGUUGUUAAUCCAUAUGGACAUCACGAUCCUAGGCCUUAUAUGGCUACUAACUGUCUUGGCAAUAGGGCACUUAAAAAAAAUAUUAUAUUGUUAAUAUUAGGCAAACAACAUUAAUUACAUUACAGUAACAAUAAGCAUUAACAACAAACACCAAUAUUAAACAACAAAAACAAAACUUUAAUGUGAUGGCUAAUAAUACUCAAUUCACGUUAGUAAAUAAUAAAUUUAAAUUCCUAAAUAUUCAUAAUUAGGAUUCAUAAAAUCAACAAAAAACUUUAUUCUCAAAGGAAAAUCAUUAGUUCCUAAACCUUGCUCUUGAUACCACAUGUAAGCAAAUACAGGAUUAUAUAACUUAAACAAUCUAAUAUAAAUAAUCCUAUCAAUUAUUUAGGAACGUAGAAUUUAAUGAUUUUCACAUCCCAUUCUAUAACAAGUAUAAGGAUCAGUCAAGAAACAUACCAGAAUCCAUAGUUUUUCUUGACCGAGAUUUAGCAGAAGUACAGAAUAGAAAUAUUGUUUGUCUCUCUUGGCCUUACUUUACAGAAUAAAUUACGAUGAAGCCUAUUCUUCUUUUGGCAGAGAGAGAACCCUUUUUUAUAAUAGAGAAUAGUUAGUUAUGUUUUCACGUACCAUCAACAUGAAUAGUGGAUACAAUAAUUAUCCACUAACAGCCAGUAAUUAUCCUAUUAGGACUCAGUAAUUAUUCUACUAACAGAUUAGUCAGUAGUUUAAUCCGACUAGGUAACUUCCCCAUAUAGGUUUAGGAUUUAACUUAUUCAAUAAUUAUUAAACCAACAAAUAAAUUAAUUAUGUGGGCCAUAAAAAUUUACAAGGGCGAUUGGAAGAGACCCUAAAUGAUGGGACGACCCUUUGGUUUUUAAGCCUGAGAGGUUUCUUGAUUUGAUGAUUGAAAUCAAGGGGCAUUGCUUUGAGUUGAUACCAUUUGGUGCUGGCAGAAGGAUGUGUGCAGGCCUUCCCUUAGCUAAUCGUAUGUUGCACCUUCUUUUGGAUUGAUUAUUUCUUGAACUUGAUUGGGAGCUUCCUAACAAUGUCACGUAUAAACUGUUGGGUUUGUGUGGUGUCAGGUGUGAAUGGAAAACGAAGAGUUAUACCAGGAGAAAUGAUGCAAUUUGAACAACACAUGUUCAAGUUUAGGAUGUGAUCUUUCCGUAAAGGCACAAGCACCUUUUACAUUGAACAAGUUGUGACAUUUUUGUUGGGUUCGAAAUCGAGAGGGCGUCAUGUGGAAACUAUUAGUUACAAACCAUAAAGAAAAUAACUCAGAUGACAAAGAAAAACAUACUAAAAACAUAAUAUUAUUAUGUGAUUUGGCUAAUUGGCCUACAUAUAAAACCUAAUAUUAAAAAUAAUAGUAUUAAAAAGCAUAAAACUAAUGAGAGAGAAAAUCUUCCACUAAACGAAACUCUUAAAAGACUACAUCGUGAAUGCUAUUGUGUUAUGGCAUGAGAAAGGGGUCAUUUAUUUAUAGAGUUUCAAAACCUUUACUCUAAAAAAGAGGUCUGCCAAAUAUGAAAAAGUUUUAUAUUUUUCUUUCAGGAAAAGUAAAAGUAAUUAUGGUAAAUUUUAUUUUCCUUCUACGAAAAAAUAAAACUUAAAUAUAGUAAAAAAAUCAGGGCAAAAACCCUAACAAAUCUCCCCUUUUUGGCUUGAUUUUCUUCACUUGAUCCAUCUUCUCUUCAUAUCACGUGCAUGAACUUCAUUCUUGAUAUAAUCUACAUAACUGCUACUUCCCAUGGUUAAAAAUAAGGUUUAAAAUAUCAUGGUUAAAAAUUGGUUUAAAAGUAAUAUUUUAUUUUUAUUUUUAAAGAUACAGCAGCAUGAAUGUUGAAAAUAUGAUUGAAACGUGUUCUCCACGUGUAGUUGGACAAAAAUCUUCAUUAUCGCCCAAAUUGUUGCAGCUUGAUUUUGAAACCGCUUUGAACUUGUUUAAUCUCGUCUCACCACACCAUUGGACCAUUGAACUAUAAGCUCUGAUACUACUUGUUGGGUUUAAAAUCGAGAAGGCGUCAUGCGGAAGCUAUUAGUUGCAAACCAUAAACACAAUAACUCAGAUGACAAAGAAAAAUAUAUUAAAAACAUAAUAUUAUUAUGUGAUUUGGCCAAUUGGCCUACAUAUAAAAUCUAAUAUUAAAAAUAAUAUUAAAAAGCAUAAAACUAAUGAGAGAAAAUCUCCCCCUAAACGAAACUCUUAAAAGACUAUUUCGUGGAUGCUAUUAUGUUAUGACAUGAGGAGAGGGAUCAUUUAUUUAUAAAGUUUCAAAACCUUUCCUCUAAGAAAGAGGUUUGCCAAAUAUGAAAAAAAAUUAUAUUUUUCUUUCAGGAAAAGUAAAAGUAAUUAUGGUAGCUUUUAUUUUCCUUCUAAGAAAAAAUAAAACUUAAAUAUAGUAAGAAAAUUAGAGAAAAAACCCUAACAAUUUCCGAUAAGUCACAGUAGCACAUAUUCGGACUACCCUCUAUUGGCUACAAAUUCAUAGGCUUAUCCUCAAUUUUGAAGACACCCAAAACAUGCAAAACCUUCUCCCCUCAUUUCUUCAUAGUCUUCGAUACAUAGUAAAUGUGUUGUGACCUACUCCGUUUGUUGAGUACGCUGAAAUUCUGCAAAUUCGAUUUCCAGUAUUGCAGAAUAGUGUUUCGUUUUAUUUUGGGAGGAAUUAAUCCAAACCUUGGCCAAUUACGAGCGGCUUAAAUUCCUUAAGCAAACACAAAUGGCUCACAGCUCAUGUAUUCUAACGUUUUUUUCUUGUUUCUGUAUAUAUUUUUUAAGACAUGGUUUAACAGAAAGAGAUGGACAUGAAAAAGAGGAUAGGAAUAACAGUGAGGAAACUCCAACCUUAGAAUGUACAAAUUCUUCACAUAAAUAUGAUAAUCCCAUUAGUUUGCUUUGUUGAUAUUGAACUGGCUAUAUUUGAGCAUGUCUUCAAUUUGUGAUAUCGAAAUGUAAGAUUACUACAGAAACAACGCGUCUUUACUUGGUGAUAUAUAGAACUGGCUUCACUUGAGCAACAACUAUCUGAUUUGGAGAUGGCGUGACAUUAAUUUUUCUGAAGUAGAUAUGACGUGUUAUCCAUGGCAGAGCAAGUGAGGAACACUCAAUGACAGAGGGUUUAAGAUACCUAUUUUGAACAGGUAAAGGGGUCUGAAUGAAAUCCAAAGGAAUACAAAGAAUAGGAUGGCAAUCCAGAAUAUGUACAAGGGUUUCCCAAGCCAUUCCGUGUCAUAUCUUUGUGGAAGCAUGAUCUGAAAUCAAGUGUAUAUCAUCAAAUGUAAAUUUUGUGUUUAUGGACAAAACUAUGAAACAUUGACCACAACUUUUAGUACUUCGAAGUACUGAGAUGCCCAUAUCUUAUACAGUCAAUAGUAUGCAUAUUGUUGUUUACUUGUGCUUAUAUAUAUUGGUUUGCUUGAAAAUAUUACUGAUGCAUGACACACAAUGCUCCAUGCUACGAUGACAGCUUGUUUGGAUGGUUGUUAACUGUUGCAUGUAAUGGAGGGAAAUAACAUAAUCUAUCCAAACGUUAUAUUUAUUAGAAUAAUACAAUACGUUAUAAUAUAAUGCAUUACUUUAUGAAAUGAUAAAUAACAACUAUAUAUCUAGAUAAGCUAAACGUUGUCAAGCCUUUAUUGGUAUUACUUUCAAAGAGUCGUGUUUUCUUGAUGUUCCACCCAGACUUUCAUCCAUAUUGAUAGAUUUAGGAGAGAUACAUUCAGGAAGCUCCCAGUCGAAUUCAUGAAGCAACAAUCCCAGAGUGAAAUGCAUCAUGCGAUGGCCUAAAGGCAAGCCAACACACAUCUUCCGUCCUGCACCAAAUAGAAUUAGCUCAUAAUGUUGACCCUUCACAUCCACUUUCGAGCCAACAAACCUCUCGGGAUUUGAUACGGGUGUACCAAGCUAUCCAACAAGCUCUACAAGUUGUUCAACAAGCUCACGACCAUUCACACGUAGUCAAGCUCGGGAGUUACGAAAACUUCAAGCUAUGCUCAUGCAAAUGAUCGUGUGCGAGUUGGUACUUGAGCCUUCCAAUGGAUUAAAUGUUUUUAAGUGUGAAGAGGAUCCUUGAAGUGUAAUAAACUUACAUUCCAAGGCUACCCCUUGGCAAAGGUAGAAUGGUCAUUUGCUAUCUCCAUUUGUGGACUAAUAUAAAUAGAUAGUGUUAGGGUUAUUUUGGAGUUAGUUCAUUCAUGAUAUUUUGAGAACACAAGACUUGUAAUAUUUUGAACUUCUAUCUUCUAUUGGAGAAGCUCAAAACCAAAAUUCCCAAUUGGAGUAACACUUGGGUUGAAUCUUGGCUAGAAACUAGGAUCUUGAGGUCAUUGAGUUCCUCUUGGUCCAAGUAAGAGAUUGGUAAUAAUAUUCUUUAGUCUUAGGGUACUUUCAUGUUGUUAGGGUUCUUAGAUUCUUGAAUAUUGUAUGUCAAGUUACUAUCUUUAAUUUGUAAUCUUGUUGUUUGUGUGGUAACAUAGCAAAGCCGUGUGGGGCCAUUUUCGAUUCACUAUAGUUGCUGUCAAUUUGUUGCUCUUGUUCUUGUUAUUGUAAUCUUGUAAUCUCUAUUAUCUUGUCAUUUUUUGUAAACCUUGAAGUCUAGUGAAGUCGUGCGUGGCCUAUUUUGAUUCACUAGCAUUGUUGUUG